rnacentral:lncRNA from 1 species
CAAGAACAUUAAUUUAAAAGACAAAAUUUAGUUUUAUAAUUCAGGAGUGGGCUGGGUACGGUGACACAAACCUAUUAGCUACUUAGGAGGCUGAGGCAGGAGGACCACAAGUUUGAGGCCAGUCUGGGCAACUUAGUGAUAUCCUGUCUCAAAAUGAACAGGCCUAGAGAUGUAGCUCCAUGUUGGAGCACCCCUGGGUUUUAUCAAAGGAACCACUAUUAAUAGCCACACUGGAACAACAGGCACAAACUGGGACUGUCCUUUCUACAAAGCCUGUGAGGCCAACUUCUUGGGGCCACCUCUUCAGCCAUCUCUUACCUCCUGUUCAGCUUAUAUUUACCACUUUCUUCAACAAACAUUUGCUAAUGUCUGGGGCCUCAGCAAGGCCAUCAGUGAGAUCUUUACAGAUACCCAGGAAGCCCCUGAGUCCCACACCUGCUGGGGAGAGCAUAUUCCUUGCUUUCCCAGAAACCCCACUCUGACACCGGAGACCAUGGCAAUGACCUUGUCCUUGUGAGUGCCUAGUCUGUGGGGAGCAGUCCUGUAGUGUGUGGAGCUCUCAUCCUGCUGAUCCUGCCUGGACUCUCUUUGGUCCUCAGUCUCCCAAGUACCUUCCCCAGGGAUAACCACUGGCCUCAGUUUCUUGUGCCUCUUGAGUGGGCACAGCAAACAUGGACGUAUCCAAUUUGACGUGUGUGUGUGUGGGGGGAGGGUGCCUGCUGCUCUCCUGAGCACCCACGGUGUAUUCACUGAGAUGUGCUGACCCCACCAAGGGCUGGCACCCUCAAUCGCUGACCUCAAGGUUUUCAGAAUCAAGAUUCUGCCCUGGGUGGCCUUCCACCCUGAGCCCAAGCGUCAUCCUGGUGCCCAAGUCUGGUCACCGAGACCCCAGCUUUCUCCACAUUGCAUGGAAGUCAGUGGGGUCUGAGGACUGCCCUCAGGUCAACCUGACCUUUAGGUGUGGCCCCUGCCACUCCCUAGUCAGGUAGAACAUGACAGUGUGAUAAGGAGUGUCAUCUCCCUGGGAGUGUCCUGAGGAAAGAGCACAAAGGGCCCCAGGAUCAUCUGAUCCUCCUCCACACCUAAUGGCACCCUCAAUGGGACCAGCAGCUGCCCUUCUAGACACACACACUAUAGCAGAGACUUAGAGGCUUCCUUUGCUAAAACCAGUGACUCUUCCCUUGGGCCUGCAGAUGCCCAGUGGGGAACUAAAUGCAGGCUAAAGCCUGGCAUCUGUGCCUUCAUUUUGUAUCUAUCUUCAGAUUCCUGCUCGGCUCUGCAGGUAGGCACAUCAAUUAUUCAAGGUGUCUUCAUCUGAAAACUGGCAAUACAAGGUUUAUCAGCCCUAAAUUUACCCAACCUAUCUCGACCCCUUCAAGACUGGGCACACCAAGUUAAGAGUAACUAAGGCACUUUCAAGAUUGGCAGGGACAUUCCUGUCCUAGCUCCCAGGAGAAGGGUCUAGCCAUCUCUGGUCAUGGCUGUACAUCUCCAGGAACAGCAGAGCCUGGCAAGCAGAACCUGGCAGGACGAGACAACCCUCCCUCAAGCAUGAGCAAUUGUCUCCGGGGAACCAAACUGUCCCCUUCCAGGAUCACAGGUCUGAUGGAUAAACAUCCUGAGCAGUGAGCAGAGAUUGCCCACUCAAGCCAUGAGGGCUUCCCUGGAUCGGGCAGCCUUCUGCCAGCAUCUCCUGGCUGGUUGCCUCUCUGGCACCAGGGGAUCCACCCUUGAAAUGACUUUAUGUCAUUUCAUCCUUUGUUAUUUUAUGCCUGUGCUCCAAAGUUUGGCUCUUGAAACAUGAAAACCAGCUGUGGGAGUUCUGAAAAGCACCCCCUCUUUAUUUCUGGAAAUGAUAAGCUUUCAAGAUGGUGGGUUUUUUCCCCAAAUCUUUUAAGAUCCAGAAAUCAAAGCUGAAAAAUGACUUCUCUACUGGGUGCAGUGAUACUUGCCUAUAAUCUCUGCAGCUCAGGAGGCUGAGGUAGGAGGAUGGCAAGUUCAAGGCCAGCCUCAGCAACUUAGUGAGACCCUAUGCAGCUCUGCAAUACUGUUUCAAAAUAAAAAUAAAAAAAGGGCUGGGAAUAUGGCUCAGUGAUUUAGCACCCCUGGGUUCAAUCCUUGGUAGGGGGUGAAGGGAGACUUCUCUAUUCUAGGCUACAUUAGCCUUCCCUCAACCCAGGCAAGGCAAGCCCCUCCUACAAACCUGGGCCUGCAGGCUGAGCAUUAAUGGCUCAGGAGCAGAGGAGGAAGAAAGGGAGAGGAAAGAAAGAGGAAGAGGAAGAGGAGAAGGAUUAUUACCAAAUAGGAAAAUACACUGGAUGAUAUUUCAAAGUGUCAUUGUGCUAGUAUAGUGUUCUAUCAGAUGAAUGGAUCAUAAUUUAUUCAACUGGCUUCCUACGAGGGGACAUUCAGGUUAUUUUCAGUCUUUAUAAACACCUUCAUAAAUUGUUCACGUGUACGAAAACUUGUAACAAUAAUACUUCAAAGUGGAAUUAUCAAGUCUAAAGAUAGUUAUUACCAUAGACAUGGCCAAAUUACUCCUCAAAAAGAGGUACAAUAAUUACAUUCUCAUCACGUUGGUCACAAGAGUGCCUAUUCUUUUUAUCGUUUGCCAAUAAUGUUUUGUCAAGUUUUUUUUUAUUUUUUCCAACCUGACAGAUUUUAAAAACGCAAGUUUGACUUAUAUUAUCAAUUAUGACCCAUUUCCC